rnacentral:tRNA from 1 species
GGGCUGCUAGCUCAACUGGUAGAGCAGUGGACUCUUAAUCCAUUGGUUCAGGGUUCGAGCCCCUGGCGGCCCA